rnacentral:rRNA from 1 species
AAAUUGAAGAGUUUGAUCAUGGCUCAGAUUGAACGCUGGCGGCAGGCCUAACACAUGCAAGUCGAACGGUAACAGAGAUCAGCUUGCUGAUUCGCUGACGAGUGGCGGACGGGUGAGUAAUGUCUGGGAAACUGCCUGAUGGAGGGGGAUAACUACUGGAAACGGUAGCUAAUACCGCAUAACGUCGCAAGACCAAAGAGGGGGACCUUCGGGCCUCUUGCCAUCGGAUGUGCCCAGAUGGGAUUAGCUAGUAGGUGGGGUAACGGCUCACCUAGGCGACGAUCCCUAGCUGGUCUGAGAGGAUGACCAGCCACACUGGAACUGAGACACGGUCCAGACUCCUACGGGAGGCAGCAGUGGGGAAUAUUGCACAAUGGGCGCAAGCCUGAUGCAGCCAUGCCGCGUGUAUGAAGAAGGCCUUCGGGUUGUAAAGUACUUUCAGCGGGGAGGAAGGGAGUAAAGUUAAUACCUUU